AGCGAACGCUGGCGGCAGGCCCAACACAUGCAAGUCGAGCGCCGUAGCAAUACGGAGCGGCAGACGGGAGAGUAACACGUGGGAACGUGCCCUUCAGUUCGGAACAACCCAGGGAAACUUGGGCUAAUACCGGAUACGUCCGUAAGGAGAAAGAUUUAUCGCUGAAGGAUCGGCCCGCGUCUGAUUAGCUAGUUGGUGUGGUAACGGCGCACCAAGGCGACGAUCAGUAGCUGGUCUGAGAGGAUGAUCAGCCUCACUGGGACUGAGACACGGCCCAGACUCCUACGGGAGGCAGCAGUGGGGAAUAUUGGACAAUGGGCGCAAGCCUGAUCCAGCCAUGCCGCGUGGGUGAUGAAGGCCUUAGGGUUGUAAAGCCCUUUCGGCGGGGAAGAUAAUGACGGUACCCGCAGAAGAAGCCCCGGCUAACUUCGUGCCAGCCGCCGCGGUAAAAC
rnacentral:rRNA from 1 species